rnacentral:lncRNA from 1 species
GUGUGUAUAGAUAUACUGUGAGGGUGUAAGUAAAGCCCAGGACAAACAGAGCUUUCAUUUCACACAGCACAAGACUCCGAGUUGAGAAAAAAAGGAGUCAUUUUGGCUGUGUCUUGCAGGGCACUGAUUUGAUGAACAGCGGGAUAAGUUUUUUGGCGCUGCAGGAGCUAGAGCGCGUGAAAGCACGCUAUGUUUGAUGCGGAUUGGGAUUUGAUGAAAAUUCAUCAUUCGAUAGCUAAAGCCUAGUGGCGAAAAGUGUUCGUACUGGUGGAAAUUUGACAUGACAUCACGCGCUUUGGUUCUCAACUUUAACCACUACCCUAUGAUAUGACCG